UCCGGUUGAUCCCGCCGGACCUGACUGCUAUCUGAUUGGUACUAAGCCAUGCGAGUCGUUGUACAAUACAAGGCGGACUGCUCAGUAACACGUAGUUAACUUAACCUAUGGAUGGGAAUAACCUCGGGAAACUGAGAAUAAUACCCAAUAGACCACAGUGCCUGGAAUGGCCUGUGGUUGAAAUGAUUUAUCGCCGUAGGAUAGGACUGCGGCCUAUCAGCUUGUUGGUGAGGUAAUGGCCCACCAAGGCUAUAACAGGUACGGGCUCUGAGAGGAGGGGCCCGGAGAUGGGUACUGAGACACGGACCCAGGCCCUAUGGGGCGCAGCAGGCGAGAAACCUUUGCAAUGUGCGAAAGCACGACAAGGUUAAUCCGAGUGUCUUCUGCUAAAGGAGUCUUUUGUCAGUUGUAGAAUCACUGGUGAAUAAGGGGUGGGCAAGUUCUGGUGUCAGCCGCCGCGGUAAAACCAGCACCUCUAGUGGUCAGGAGGUUUAUUGGGCCUAAAGCAUCCGUAGCCGGUUGCAUAAGUUUUCGGUUAAAUCUAUGCGCUUAACGUAUAGGCCGCCGAAAAUACUGUGCAGCUAGGGGGUGGGAGAGGACACGGUACUCGAUAGGAAGGG
rnacentral:rRNA from 1 species